rnacentral:rRNA from 1 species
CGGCGGACGGGUGAGUAACACGUGGGCAACCUGCCUGUAAGACUGGGAUAACUUCGGGAAACCGAAGCUAAUACCGGAUAGGAUCUUCUCCUUCAUGGGAGAUGAUUGAAAGAUGGUUUCGGCUAUCACUUACAGAUGGGCCCGCGGUGCAUUAGCUAGUUGGUGAGGUAACGGCUCACCAAGGCAACGAUGCAUAGCCGACCUGAGAGGGUGAUCGGCCACACUGGGACUGAGACACGGCCCAGACUCCUACGGGAGGCAGC